AUUCUUGAAAUUGUUUUUUUGGGGGGGACAAAACAGCCAUUUUUUUGCGACACCUUUAUAAUCUAUCUGAUGCAUAGUUUCAAAAAAAAAAGUUAAGAAAGAAUUUGGCGGUUUUGAGGAAAGUUUCUUUGAAGUCUGGGUCUUGUAAUUACUUGAAGAGCCAGUUCACCUGUAGAUAAUGGGAGAAGUGAGUCAGAUGCAGGACAAGUCUGCUUUCCCACUCUUGAAAAACAUGAAAGUUUGUGGUCCUUCUGAAAAGUAGACUUUUGUAUUUCAUGCUUCUAGUUUAAUGCGAAGAUUGUGCACUGGAGGAGUAAGAAUUAUAGAUUAAGAAUUAGUGAUAAAUUGAAAAAAAAUAGCCAGUGUUAGGGCAUGUUUCUGUAGUGGAAGGUAAAUUUGUUUUGCUGGUUUUGUUCUAACCAGCAUGUGUAAGAAGAGCAGUGAAGUUCUGGCAGUGUGGUCUAGCAGCUAGUGUCCCUUUAAAAGCCUGCACCAGGCAUUACAGUUUCCAGUUCCUGAUGAAUGCAGUGCAGCAGUGUCUUCACUAAUAUUCUCACCUUUGCUACCUAAAUUAAAAGUGAGAUGAAUGCUCUGAUAUAACCACAUUUUCAUUUUAUGUAGAUGAAGACAGGUUGCAACACAUUUCUGCUAGACAAGGUUAAGAACUCUCUGCUGUCCCUGAACAACAAUGUUCUAAUUAAACAAGAGUAUGGAUUUGUUUCCGGGCAGACAAGUCAUCUGAAGUGUCUUGCUACAUGGCACAAAUUCGUUACCUAUGAGGAGGAAAGGGUGGCAGUGCAUGGCUUAGGAUGGAAAGAAGAGAGAAUGUUGUAAAUCAGUGACCUCAACAUACAAGAGCUUAAGCUGAGGGAAUCAAGCCAGGAGAAGACACUGAUCAUGACCUAUAUUUCCUAGAAUGUUUUUUUUCCUCAUUAAGCUGGUAUUUGUAGAAUGUGUAGAAUGUUAUAUUGUGUAGAACAAAGCUGUUAGCAUUUUUAGAUAGCUGUUCAUACAACACAUUCCCUUAUUCGCUCCCACAGUUCACUCAUGUACUAAAAUAUUUACCCACAGUUACUUGGCUGUAACAAUAGCUGGAAGGCCAGUUCAGAUUGUAUAUUCACAAGUGGACGGUUGUACUGGUGUUUCAAUGGCUUCCAGGCUCUGAGGUGUAUAUUUAAUUUUGUAGUUUUUCCCUGUGUGUAGCAACCGCCAGCCCCGUGGCUGUAGGCCAAAUUGCAAGAGCCCGUUGUUGAUGCCAGUGGCUUGCUUGGUGAUGUUGGUGGCCCAGAGAGAAAUCACAGCUUCUUGGUGUCCUAAGUAUGUAAGAUUUUUUGGAUUCAGUAGGCCCACCAGUCUCUGGAACUUGUGAACCUUAUGUGCUAUAUUCUUUCAGCACAUAUUUUUCUACUCUUUGGCUUGUUAUUUUCUGUUAACUACCUCUCCAUCCAAAACUAUAGAUAAUUCCAGAAUGCACUCAUACAGGCUCACAUA